rnacentral:sRNA from 1 species
ACUCAAGAGGCGCAGCGCUCAGCCGCAGCGACAUCUUGAAGGCGUUUCGGGGAGGAAACGUCCGCUCCUGAGAGAGCGAGAAGGCCCGCUGCGAUGUAUCCCCCGCAGCGGGCUUUUUC